rnacentral:rRNA from 1 species
UCAAGCGAAUAAGCGCACACGGUGGAUGCCUUGGCGGUCAGAGGCGAUGAAGGACGUGGCAGCCUGCGAAAAGUAUCGGGGAGCUGGCAACAAGCUUUGAUCCGGUAAUGUCCGAAUGGGGAAACCCACCCGCUUGCGGGUAUCCUGCAGUGAAUACAUAGCUGCUGGAAGCGAACCUGGUGAACUGAAAUAUCUAAGUAACCAGAGGAAAAGAAAUCAACCGAGAUUCCGUAAGUAGCGACGAGCGAACGCGGACUAGCCCUUAAGCUGAUUUGGUUCUAGGAAAACGCUCUGGAAAGAGCGGCCAUAGAAGGUGAUAGCCCUGUAUCUGAAAGGGCCAUUUCAGUGAAGACGAGUAGGGCGGGGCACGUGAAACCCUGUCUGAACAUGGGGGGACCAUCCUCCAAGGCUAAAUACUACUGACCGACCGAUAGUGAACCAGUACCGUGAGGGAAAGGCGAAAAGAACCCCGGAGAGGGGAGUGAAAUAGAACCUGAAACCGUGUGCGUACAAGCAGUAGGAGCUCCGCAAGGAGUGACUGCGUACCUUUUGUAUAAUGGGUCAGCGACUUACUGUUCGUGGCAAGCUUAACCGUAUAGGGGAGGCGAAGGGAAACCGAGUCUGAUAAGGGCGCAUAGUCGCGGGCAGUAGACCCGAAACCGGGUGAUCUAGUCAUGCCCAGGGUGAAGGUGCGGUAACACGCACUGGAGGCCCGAACCCACUCCCGUUGCAAAGGUAGGGGAUGAGGUGUGAUUAGGAGUGAAAAGCUAAUCGAACCCGGAGAUAGCUGGUUCUCCUCGAAAGCUAUUUAGGUAGCGCCUCAUAUGUAUCCUCUCGGGGGUAGAGCACUGUUAUGGCUAGGGGGUCAUCGCGACUUACCAAACCAUUGCAAACUCCGAAUACCGAGACGGACUGUAUGGGAGACACACGGCGGGUGCUAACGUCCGUCGUGAAAAGGGAAACAACCCAGACCCACAGCUAAGGUCCCAAAUUCACUGCUAAGUGGAAAACCAUGUGGAAAGGCACAGACAGCCAGGAGGUUGGCUUAGAAGCAGCCACCCUUUAAAGAAAGCGUAAUAGCUCACUGGUCGAGUCGGUCUGCGGGGAAGAUUUAACGGGGCUAAGCAGUGAACCGAAGCUUGGGGUGCAUACUUUGUAUGCGCGGUAGAGGAGCGUUCCGUAAGCCGUUGAAGGUGGAUUGAGAAGUCUGCUGGAGGUAUCGGAAGUGCGAAUGCUGACAUGAGUAACGAUAAUGCGGGUGAAAAACCCGCACGCCGAAAGCCCAAGGUUUCCUUGCGCAACGUUAAUCGGCGCAGGGUGAGUCGGCCCCUAAGGCGAGGACGAAAGUCGUAGUCGAUGGGAAGCAGGUUAAUAUUCCUGCACCUCGCGUAAGUGCGAUGGAGGGACGGAGAAGGUUAGGUGUACCAGGCGUUGGUUGUCCUGGGGAAAGGCGGUAGGUUUGGAUCUUUGGCAAAUCCGGGAUCCUCUAAGACCGAGCACCGAGACGAGCCUUUAUGGCGAAGUCACUGAUACCACGCUUCCAGGAAAAGCUCCUAAGCUUCAGCUUACGCAGACCGUACCGUAAACCGACACAGGUGGGUAGGAUGAGAAUUCUCAGGCGCUUGAGAGAACUCGGGUGAAGGAACUAGGCAACAUGGCACCGUAACUUCGGGAGAAGGUGCACCCUUUUUGGUGGCUCGUGCGAGCUAUAGCUGAAGAGGGUCGCAGUAACCAGGCCGCUGCGACUGUUUAUCAAAAACACAGCACUCUGCAAACACGAAAGUGGACGUAUAGGGUGUGACGCCUGCCCGGUGCUGGAAGGUUAAUUGAUGGGGUCAGCCGCAAGGCGAAGCUCUUGAUCGAAGCCCCAGUAAACGGCGGCCGUAACUAUAACGGUCCUAAGGUAGCGAAAUUCCUUGUCGGGUAAGUUCCGACCUGCACGAAUGGCGUAACGACAGCGGCGCUGUCUCCACCCGAGACUCAGUGAAAUUGAAAUCGCUGUGAAGAUGCAGCGUUCCCGUGGCAAGACGGAAAGACCCCGUGAACCUUUACUAUAGCUUUACACUGAACGUUGAGUUCGUCUGUGUAGGAUAGGUGGGAGGCUAUGAAACCAUGGCGCUAGCUGUGGCGGAGCCAUCCUUGAAAUACCACCCUGUCGUGCUUGACGUUCUAACCUGGGCCCAUUAUCUGGGUCGGGGACCGUGUAUGGUGGGUAGUUUGACUGGGGCGGUCUCCUCCUAAAGAGUAACGGAGGAGCUCGAAGGUACGCUCAGCGCGGUCGGACAUCGCGCACUGUGUGCAAAGGCAUAAGCGUGCUUGACUGCAAGAUCGACGGAUCAAGCAGGUAGGAAACUAGGACUUAGUGAUCCGGUGGUUCUGUAUGGAAGGGCCAUCGCUCAACGGAUAAAAGGUACUCCGGGGAUAACAGGCUGAUACCGCCCAAGAGUUCAUAUCGACGGCGGUGUUUGGCACCUCGAUGUCGGCUCAUCACAUCCUGGGGCUGUAGUCGGUCCCAAGGGUAUGGCUGUUCGCCAUUUAAAGUGGUACGCGAGCUGGGUUCAGAACGUCGUGAGACAGUUCGGUCCCUAUCUGCCAUGGGCGUUGGAGAUUUGAGAGGGGCUGCUCCUAGUACGAGAGGACCGGAGUGGACGAACCUCUGGUGUUCCGGUUGUCACGCCAGUGGCAUUGCCGGGUAGCUAUGUUCGGAAGCGAUAACCGCUGAAAGCAUCUAAGCGGGAAGCGCGCCUCAAGAUGAGAUCUCCCGGGGCACAAGCCCCCUGAAGGAACCAUGUAGACUACGUGGUUGAUAGGUCAGGUGUGUAAGUACAGCAAUGUAUUGAGCUAACUGAUACUAAUGAUCCGAGAGGCUUGACCAU